UACGGAGGGUGCAAGCGUUAUCCGGAUUCACUGGGUUUAAAGGGUGCGUAGGUGGGUUGGUAAGUCCGUGGUGAAAUCCCCAAGCUUAACUUGGGAACUGCCGUGGAUACUAUCAAUCUUGAAUAUCGUUGAGGUAAGCGGAAUAUGUCAUGUAGCGGUGAAAUGCUUAGAUAUGACAUAGAACACCGAUAGCGGAGGCAGCUUACUAAAGCGAUCAUUGACACUGAGGCACGAAAGCGUGGGGAGCAAACAGG
rnacentral:rRNA from 1 species